GGUGAACGCUAGCGGCAGGCUUAAUACAUGCAAGUCGUGGGGCAGCAUGAUGUAGCAAUACAUUGAUGGCGACCGGCAAACGGGUGCGGAACACGUACACAACCUCCCAAUAAGUGGGGAAUAGCCCAGAGAAAUUUGGAUUAAUACCCCGUAACAUAACGAUGUGGCAUCACAUUGUUAUUAUAGAUUUUUCGCUUAUUGAUGGGUGUGCGGCUGAUUAGAUAGUUGGCGGGGUAACGGCCCACCAAGUCUACGAUCAGUAGCUGAUGUGAGAGCAUGAUCAGCCACACGGGCACUGAGACACGGGCCCGACUCCUACGGUAGGCAGCAGUAAGGAAUAUUGGACAAUGGGCGCAAGUCUGAUCCAGCCAUGCCGCGUGAAGGAUUAAGGUCCUCUGGAUUGUAAACUUCUUUUAUAAGGGACGAAAAAAGGCUUUUCUAAGUCGUCUGACGGUACCUUAUGAAUAAGCACCGGCUAACUCCGUGCCAGCCGCCGCCGUAACAC
rnacentral:rRNA from 1 species